AGACUCCAAGGGUUUUAUAGCGGCCGGUAGCGACACGGAGCCGGCUCCCCCUUUUCCAGCCUUCCUCCCCAUCUCCCAUUCCCCAUCUCCCACGACCUAUACCAGAGGUCCUUAGGCCUCCACGUCUCCCCUUCUGCAGAGUAGCCCAAGGUUUCCACCCAUCUGCCAGGGGGAUGGCAUCCACUCCGAUGGGGAAUGAGGGGGAGAAGAAGAGCAGCUGGCCGUCUCAAACCGCACCCUCCUUGAGAGAAGGUCCGGCUUCGUUAUCUCGUUCUGAGGAAUACCUGUCCCGGAUCAGUACAGAACUCAUGGAGGAGGCUUUGUGCACUGCUUGCUGCCACUUGAACCCUAUGCCCAUCAAAAAAAAGCAGUCACAAGACCAAGCGACUCAGAUAUCCAAAUGCAGUAACCCCCUGCCUCAGGACCACCAUAUCUAGAGAACUGCUGCCUCCACCAUGCCUGGUUCCAGUCCCCGACCCCUCCCACCUCUAGCUGAACUCUCCAGGAGUCUGUGCCCAUCUCACCCAUCUCACAGCCAGCCCUAGGACUUGUGAAGUGCCCCUCUCACCCGCUAACCCAGUACCCACUCCUCACUGCUGGCCAAGAAUCCCCUUAGCCCUGUCUGCCCUGGCCGCAUCUCUUCCUGGCCAUGGGGAUAGUCCUUUCUCUGACUAGCGCCUCUACUUCCAGCAUUCUUUACCAAGACCUGAGGCACAGACACCUGGUGAGUGAGGCUUCAAGGGAGAUGCUCUUUGUCCUGGGAGAGAGAUGAGGAACCUGGAGGGGAGAGAGCGAGGGUUUCACAAUAUCCCAGUAGGGUAGGGGGAUUUUUGAACCGUGCACUUCCAUUCUAUUCUUCCCUGAUCCUCAAAUUCUGAAUUCUCAGCUCUCUCCCCUCUCUUCCACCAUCUCCCACUCCAACAGAAACCGUACCUGCAGCAAGGCACACCUCCUGCCAACUCCUGGUGAAAAGAACAUGCCUAAAAACUACUCUUUUGCCACUCUUUAACCACUUCUGUUUGUGGGGACCUCCUGGUCAUGAGCAGCAUCAUCCCGAAGCCUUCAAAGUGUUCUGGAUUCAUCACAGGACCCUCCAGCCUCAGCGAGCAAGGACACCACCAGGAAUGAAAGCGCUUUAAUAAAGAGACGGGGUGUGCCCUG